AUAUGAGGACUGCGUGUUUGUAGGUUACUCCGAUAUAGUAAACUUUAGGGAAAAUAUUUCUCUCCAUAUU
rnacentral:tRNA from 1 species